UACGUAGGGCGCAAGCGUUAUCCGGAAUUAUUGGGCGUAAAGAGCUCGUAGGCGGUUUGUCGCGUCUGCCGUGAAAGUCCGGGGCUCAACUCCGGAUCUGCGGUGGGUACGGGCAGACUAGAGUGAUGUAGGGGAGACUGGAAUUCCUGGUGUAGCGGUGAAAUGCGCAGAUAUCAGGAGGAACACCGAUGGCGAAGGCAGGUCUCUGGGCAUUAACUGACGCUGAGGAGCGAAAGCAUGGGGAGCGAACAGGAUUAGAACCUAC
rnacentral:rRNA from 1 species